AAUGGCAUCUUCCUCAAGAAGGUAAAAAUCUAUAUUUUUUUUCUACUGAUUUUCAUUUUUUACUCUUCUCUCAUAACAUGCAUGCUUCAACAACUUUACAAUUAUUCCUCUUUUUCUUAAAUUUGUUUGUCAAUAAGCUAAUUAAUACAUUUAGAUUCGUAUUUAGUAACAAAUUAUUCAAUGAUUUGGUUUCGGUUUUGAAUCUACAGUUUUUAUCUGGUUUCAGUUGCUGCAUCAGAUUCAUCAUCAACUUUACAAUUAUCACAUUAGGAAUCGCACUUUUUUGUACAGAUAUAUCAUGAGUAUAAUAUAGAAACAGAUAAAAACCGUAGAUUCAAAACAGAAACCAAAUCAUUGAAUAAUUUGUUACUAAAUACAAAUCUAAAUGUAAUAAUUAGCUUAUUGGCAAACAAAUUUAAGAAAAAGAGAAUAAUUGUAAAGUUGUUGAAGCAUGCAUGUUAAGAUUGAGAAGAGUAAAAAACGAACAUCAGUUGAAAAAGUAUAGAUUGUUACCUUCUUGAGGAAGAUGCCAUUGCAGAUCUGAACGGUUUGUGUUAGUUGUUGAAGGCGAUGUU
rnacentral:lncRNA from 1 species